AUGGUGGCAGAAGAGAAAAGAAAGAGGUCGCAGCAGAGGAUGGCUUCUCACGGUGGUUACCUGCGACGGCUCACGGCGGCGGCGCCAAUAGAUCUUCAAAUAACGUUCAAGGAGUUUUUUUCCCAAAAUAUCACAAACAACACAAAAUUAAAGAAAGUAAGGGUGGAUUCGCGUUCAGAGAGAGAAACUCAACCUUCUGGAGCAAGAAAGGAAGAGGACAGCGGAGACUUGGGGCUCAGGUGCGGCGGUCGGACGGUAUUCCGACGAAGAAGUUCUGGCUCGCGCGAGUGGGUCGAAAAUCCGGCGAGAGGAGGUGAGAUUGUAAAUGGAAUUUAUCUUUGGUGUUCAAGCGUGUGGAUGCAAGGGCAGAAUUGUGAUUGA